rnacentral:rRNA from 1 species
GGAUAACUUACCCUUAGGACUGGGAUAACUCUGGGAAACUGGGGAUAAUACUGGAUAUUAGGCUAUGCCUGGAAUGGUUUGCCUUUGAAAUGUUUUUUUCGCCUAAGGAUAGGUCUGCGGCUGAUUAGGUCGUUGGUGGGGUAAUGGCCCACCAAGCCGAUGAUCGGUACGGGUUGUGAGAGCAAGGGCCCGGAGAUGGAACCUGAGACAAGGUUCCAGACCCUACGGGGUGCAGCAGGCGCGAAACCUCCGCAAUGUACGAAAGUGCGACGGGGGGAUCCCAAGUGUUAUGCUUUUUUGUAUGACUUUUCAUUAGUGUAAAAAGCUUUUAGAAUAAGAGCUGGGCAAGACCGGUGCCAGCCGCCGCGGUAACACCGGCAGCUCGAGUGGUAGCUGUUUUUAUUGGGCCUAAAGCGUUCGUAGCCGGUUUGAUAAGUCUUUGGUGAAAGCUUGUAGCUUAACUAUAAGAAUUGCUGGAGAUACUAUUAGACUUGAAGUCGGGAGAGGUUAGAGGUACUACCGGGGUAGGGGUGAAAUCCUAUAAUCCUGGGAGGACCACCUGUGGCGAAGGCGUCUAACUGGAACGAUCUUGACGGUGAGUAACGAAAGCCAGGGGCGCGAACCGGAUUAGAUACCCGGGUAGUCCUGGCCGUAAACGAUGUGGACUUGGUGUUGGAAUGGCUUUGAGUUGUUCCGGUGCCGAAGGGAAGCUGUUAAGUCCACCGCCUGGGAA